AGCUCAGCUGGUUCAGAGCAUUCCGAUUUAUAAUCGGAAGAGUCGGGGGUUCGAAUCCCUCA
rnacentral:tRNA from 1 species